GCUAUCAUGAGGUUCUUUCAUAUGGUAACAAGUGCAUGCAUGCUGACGGUGCUGAGAAGCUAGGGACCCCUGGGCCAACCAUUCAAUUACACAAAGCUCACAAGAAGGACCAGAUUGUACCUAUGGCACCUAAAUCUCGUGCCUAGAUCUCUAUGGCUACCGGUAAAGUCAAACUACGGUCAGUAUGACAAUCUCUAUCAAAGGUAAGUAUAACUGUUGAAUUUUAGAAGAGCAACUAUUUUGUUUGAAACAAUGACCCUCCCAAGGCUCAAUUUCAGAGAUAUGAUGGGAAGACCUUCAGUUUCUAGCUGGACCUUACAAUGCAGAUGACCCAAGCAGCGGGUAGAGGGCAUCACCGUCUCCUCUUAUGGGGCGAUGGAGACACCGUUUGCCUACAGCGCUUAAACUCCUAGAGAAGGUCCUAACCAUCUCUAAAAAGCACCGCCGUUGAACAUCAUUAAACAGAGGCAACUCUACCAAAUCUUGAAGAAGAAAAAAAAAAUGGAAAGAAAUAUAUGUAAAUCACAAAUAAUUAUUUGCGCAGAAUAAUAAUAAAAGUUUAAUUUCAGGUUAGAAAGUAGGAAAAAAAAUCUGUGAAAUGAAAACUGACAUCAGUUUAACCAACUCUGGAUAAAAUUAAAAA